CACGUAGGCGGCCUGGUAAGUCAGAUGUGAAAGCCCGGGGCUUAACCCCGGAAGUGCAUUUGAUACUGUCAGGCUUGAGUAUGGGAGAGGGAAGUGGAAUUCCUGGUGUAGAGGUGAAAUUCGUAGAUAUCAGGAGGAACACCGGUGGCGAAGGCGACUUCCUGGACCAAUACUGACGCUGAGGCGCGAAGGCGUGGGGAGCAAACAGGAUUAGAUACCCUGGUAGUCC
rnacentral:rRNA from 1 species